GCUAAUGAUGUACACGUCUUUACUCCCCACUUCUCCACUCCACCAAUUUCCCCACCACACUCAAAGUAUCAGCACCAACACCAACCCCACCUCACCAAACAUCCCACUCCACCAACUCCAUUAUCUUUUGCUCCCCACCAAAUCCUUCUCCCUUCUUACUCAAUAGAUCGCCAGUGGAGCUGUUUAAGAAAAUCCAAUUCGUAUAUUCCAACAGAAUGUUUACAGCAAGCUCAUGCCAACAUCAAAACCAAGUUUCACACAGAAAAAAAAACACCCGAAAUAACAUCUAUAAUCUCCGAGAUCUCCUUAUUCAAACAGUAUAUGCCAACAAAUUUUCACCAAGAAGAAGAAAACAGAUCAGCCAAUCAAGCACAAAUAGACAAGGUCAAGCGCGAGAGUAAGAACUAUUCAAGAAGUCACAGUACUUAGCAAAACUUUGCUAUCAGGUUGAGCUGUGAUGGGCGAUGAAGUGUUGUUGCUGAGUGGAGUUUUUGUCGAACUUAAAGUAGGCUCAGAAAGGAUACAUGUCUUCAUACAUGUAUCUCAGUUAUGCAUUCCGCUAUAAACACUGAUUAUUUCAGUUACAUCUUCCGUUGCAAACUCUGAUAAUGUUUUAGCCAAGCCCCUAACGAUGCCUUUUUCCUUUUUAAGGAAUAUAACGCGUAUACAAGUUCUUUGAGUACCCUUUUUAUGCGACCUAUGCCUUUUUCCUUUUUAAGGAAUAUUUCACGCGUAUUCAA